GGUUAGUCCGCACGAGCGCAACCCCUGUCGUAUGUUGCCAUCAUUCAGUUGGGCACUCUAGCGAGACUGCCGGUAAUAAACCGGAGGAAGGUGGGGAUGACGUCAAAUCAUCAUGCCCCUUAUGACCUGGGCUACACACGUGCUACAAUGGUUGGUACAACGAGUUGCGAGUCGGUGACGGCGAGCUAAUCUCUUAAAGCUAAUCUCAGUUCGGAUUGUAGGCUGCAACUCGCCUACAUGAAGUCGGAAUCGCUAGUAAUCGCGGAUCAGCACGCCGCGGUGAAUACGUUCCCGGGCCUU
rnacentral:rRNA from 1 species